GUAGUGGUGGUAUGAAUUAACAGUCAGUUGUUGCUGGUCUAGUAGUGGUAUGAAUUAACACAGUCAGUUGUUGCUGGUCUAGUAGUGGAGGUAUGAAUUAACAGUCAGUUGUUGCUGGUCUAGUAGUGGUAUGAAUUAACAGUCAGUUGUUGCUGGUCUAGUAGUGGAGGUAUGAAUUAACACAGUCAGUUGUUGCU